rnacentral:rRNA from 1 species
GAUGAACGCUGGCGGCGUGCUUAACACAUGCAAGUCGAGUGAAGCAAUCUAAGUGAAGUUUUCGGAUGGAUCUUAAAUUGACUGAGCGGCGGACGGGUGAGUAACGCGUGGAUAACCUGCCUCACACAGGGGGAUAACAGUUAGAAAUGACUGCUAAUACCGCAUAAGCGCACAGUACCGCAUGGUAUAGUGUGAAAAACUCCGGUGGUGUGAGAUGGAUCCGCGUCUGAUUAGGUAGUUGGUGGGGUAACGGCCCACCAAGCCGACGAUCAGUAGCCGACCUGAGAGGGUGACCGGCCACAUUGGGACUGAGACACGGCCCAAACUCCUACGGGAGGCAGCAGUGGGGAAUAUUGCACAAUGGGCGAAAGCCUGAUGCAGCGACGCCGCGUGAGUGAAGAAGUAUCUCGGUAUGUAAAGCUCUAUCAGCAGGGAAGAAGAUGACGGUACCUGACUAAGAAGCCCCGGCUAACUACGUGCCAGCAGCCGCAGUAA